rnacentral:miRNA from 1 species
AUACAUGAACUUCGAUUUAA